UGAUGACAUUCUCCGGAAUCUCUGUACUGUCUUGAUGAAAGUACUUUUGAACCCUUUUCCAUCUGACAACGCCGAGUUUUC